AUACGGAGGGUGCGAGCGUUGUUCAGAAUUAUUGGGCGUAAAGAGCAUGUAGGCGGUCUGUUAAGUCUGGUGUGAAAGCCCGGGGCUCAACCCCGGAAGUGCAUUGGAUACUGGCAGACUUGAGUAUGGGAGAGGAAAGCGGAAUUCCGAGUGUAGAAGUGAAAUCCGUAGAUAUUCGGAGGAACACCAGUGGCGAAGGCGGCUUUCUGGACCAAUACUGACGCUGAGAUGCGAAAGCGUGGGGAGCGAACAGGAUUAGAAACCCCAGUAGUCC
rnacentral:rRNA from 1 species